UACGAAGGGGGCUAGCGUUGCUCGGAAUGACUGGGCGUAAAGGGCGCGUAGGCGGCCUGACAAGUGGAAGGUGAAAUCCCUCGGCUUAACCGAGGAACUGCCCUCCAAACUGUUUGGCUUGAGACCGGGAGAGGUGAGUGGAAUUCCCAGUGUAGCGGUGAAAUGCGUAGAUAUUGGGAGGAACACCAGUGGCGAAGGCGGCUCACUGGACCGGUACUGACGCUGAGGCGCGAA
rnacentral:rRNA from 1 species